GGCAGGGAUGCCUUUUUCGGCAUAACACCGACAACUUUUUUUUUUUCACAUUUGAAGCGCCGAUUAACACUACACCACUUUUAGAAAAGUGUGCCUUUACACGUGCUUUGUCCGUAAAGUUAACGAAGGUACUUAAGUCUCAAGAAUAUACAUCGCAGUUCUGGGUAUUGUGGGGUUUGUGCACAUUAUGUCACAGUCUAAUAUUUAUAUCAAAGGGAUAAACAUAAGCAGCGCGCGCUUGAGCCGCGAGCGGGUCUUUCCCCCAGAGCUGCCUGUCCUCUGUAUCUGGAAAAGUAAUUUGGCCAGCGGAUCCCGGGAGGGGGCUGCAGGAUUGCCCCCAUCUCCAUCUCAGAAACCCCUGGACAGGAGAAACUCGCCGGCUUUGAGUCUCCACUGCCAAUCAGCAAGUCCUGGAGAAGGAUAAGGAACGGCUCCUGGAUCUUCUUGGCGGAUCAGAACUGAAGUGAGGCGGCUGCUGAAUGAGGGGCUCCAGGGUGCUGCCAGAAAGGCUCUCGGCCCUGUCCUUGCCUGCCCCGCUUGGCUCUCAGCCAUGGCUCCCAGCCUGCCCCAUCCCUGCCUGCCCCAUCCCUGCCUGCCCCAUUGGGCUGUACGCACCGUCCCAGGCCUGUCCCCUUAACAUGCUUUAUUCUGAGAACCCCAGCAAUCUGUUGGCCGGUCUGAUCGUGCUGCGUUGGGGUUUUAAGUAACGCCUGCAUGGUGAUAACUCAUCGUCUGGAUGCCGGCCGUGGCCAAAGAGGCUCAGCGUUAAUCUGACCUCCCACCCGGCUGUUGAAUGGACGUGAGCAGCAUGCGGAUGCUGGGGGCCGUGAGACAGCAUGUGGUCCUGCCUGCAGUUGCCAUCGCGGUGACCCUGGGCACUAGUUGCUCGUCACAGUGAAGAUGUGCGGGGGAGGGCAAAUUACCCAGGGCAAGGUGCCUGUUAGGCUGUAAUCAUCUCCAAGCAUCGCUGGAAAUUACGGGACCCCGGAGAGCUGAAAACGAGGCCGCAUCACAGCCCCCCAUUUUCUGGGCCGUACUCUCAGGAUCCUUUUACCAGCAAGUAUUCAGGGUGCAGCGCUAACUGGUUUAGCCACUGGUUAGCACGCAAACACCUGGACAGGCUCGACGGGAACAGGCAUGCUCUGGGCCGGCUGCAGAGGUGAGGUGAGGUGAGGAUGAGCUUCCCCUGAGUGGCAUGGAUAAUCUCCAAAAGUAACUUCAACAGUAUCUUCAGAAGACAUCUGAUAAAUGAGGACUGUGAAUAGCUGCUAUCCCCAAACAGAAGGAGAGAUACGGCCUUAAUCCACUCCCCACCCACAUGUGAUGGAUAUUCUUUCCAAAGGAACGACUAGAAACGGACCUGGAGUGUUUUGGAGGAAAUUUGUCUAAAUUGUGUUUAGGCUCAGUCAGCAACGGAAACAAUAACCUGUCAGAGUGGACAGACUGCAGCCAUCCUGUAGCGGAUCAAACAUGCUGAAACUGUAGGAAAAGCAUCUCAAGCAUGGUUAAACCACAGUCAUGUGACCACACCACAUGACUCGCAUGUUUGCCAGAGUGUGGCGUGAUGGUUACAGUGCUGAAUUUCUACCAAAAGUGUCUGAAAUAUGACACAUGCAUGUAUAUAACAUUAAAAUAGGGGGAAGGU